AUGACUCUCGGCAACGGAUAUCUCGGCUCUCGCAUCGAUGAAGAACGUAGCGAAAUGCGAUACCUGGUGUGAAUUGCAGAAUCCCGCGAACCAUCGAGUCUUUGAACGCAAGUUGCGCCCGAGGCCACUCGGUCGAGGGCACGCCUGCCUGGGCGUCACGC
rnacentral:rRNA from 2 species